rnacentral:misc_RNA from 1 species
CCUCACACCUGAAGCACCCAUUUCUUUUGCGAGGCUCCUUAGCUCAGCAUAGCGCACUUGUCUUUGAGGCGAGCUCCUACUCCUUGUAAACCGCCUCAAGUGGACUGCAGUAGCUGAAGACAUUCCCCCACUUUUUUGUUGACACAGAUCUGCAAGCAGCAGAGUAAAUGUCCACAGAUCCCCCGAACCGCUGCUGCCCCACUGAAAAGGGCGCCGCCCAGUGUGUGUACAGCCCCGCUGGCAACGACCUCUACGUGGUGGGCCCACACAACAGCAAGGCUGGCGUGGUGCUCGUGUGCGACAUCUUCGGUUUGCUGCCCAACUCGAAACGCUUUGCUGACGUGCUAGCUGCGCACGGCUUCCUUGUUGUCAUGCCGGACUUCUUUGGACCGCUGGCAUGGCCUGAGUCAGAGUGGCCGGCCGACUUCCAAUCAACGCGCUGGCUCCAGUAUGCGGAGAAAAUCACGCAGUUCGACACCUUUGUGCCUCGCAUGGAGGCGGCGAUCGCGCUGCUGCGCCAGAUGGGGUGUGCGAAGGUUGGCGCCAUUGGCAUGUGCUGGGGUGCUGCCCUGCCGUUCAUGAUGGCGGCACAGGGCAAGAUCGACGCCGCCGCCACGGCGCACCCGUCCUUCUUCACUGCCGACAGAGUGAGGGCCGCGAAGACGCCUGUGCUGGUGCUGCCGUCGAAGGACGAACCUCCCAUGGACGAUGUCGAAGCCGCUGUCAACUCGCACCCGAUGGAGCCGCACGUGCACAAGCGCUUUGACACCCUGCACCACGGGUUCUUUGGUGCCCGCUACAACCCGGACGCGUACACGGCUGAGGAAAUGAAGGAUGUGGAGACGGCACGUCAGCUUGUGCUGGACUUCUUCAAGAAGUCACUCCAUUAGGCUGCUGGCGCGAGAACGUCGCGGUGCUCAUCAUCAGUGUGACUGCCGGCGGCACAUGCCUGCUCUACGUCCCUCAUAACUCCUCAUCGCGGGCUUCUCUGUGUGGGGCUGUGCUCUGCGCAAGCGCGAACGUGGCGGAAGACGACUUCGGUUUAUGCCGUCCUUGCGGGGGACUGCGGCGCGUAGAAGGUGACGUGCGGCUGCUACAUGUGAGCUUCACGGCUCGCCUUGGCUCAUCUUCCCUCGUGCUCACUGUCAGUGAUCUUUCCCCGACCCCACUUCACUUUCUCGAGGAUGGGAGGAGGAGGGGGGCGUUGUCGACAUUCGCGCAGGCCCCCUCCAUCCGGCCCCGUGACUCUGUCGCACUGUGCCUUCUUUCCCUUCCCCGCUGUCACCCUUCUCUCUUUCUGUAUACCUCACGCAGAGCGGCGGAGCAGUGGAACCUUCGCCGCAUGAGUAAAACCAAGCGCACUGCACACGUAUCGUCUUUUCUUCGAGCCCUCCCUGUCCAUCGUCUCAAGACGCGGCAUUGACGCAUGCGCCUAUCAAGUACAUCGCUCCUUCCCUCUCCCAUCUUUUAUCUCAGCAGCUUCUGACACUCCUCUUUUUUUUUUGCUUUCUCAUCUUUUCCCUUCACCGUCUUCUGUGCAUCUUCUUUACUCUCUCGUUUCUGUUUGUUUGCUGCUCUGUUUUUGCUUUGCAAGCAGUUCACAUCCUCUGCACCAACCGCCACCCCAACCAGCGCCACCCCUUAUGGGGGACGGGGGGCCUUCGCGUUUGUGCAUGUGUCUGCAUACGUGUCGUGGUGCGUAGGGGCACUUGCUGCGUCAACCUGUCGACCGGCAAAGAUGGCGAGCUACCUCUUGCGCGCGCGCGCACACACACCAAAACAGGCUCAGAUGGAGAGAACACGAUGAACUGAAUACCG